rnacentral:rRNA from 1 species
GACGAACGCUGGCGGCGUGCUUAACACAUGCAAGUCGAACGGAAAGGCUCCAGCUUGCUGGCGUACUCGAGUGGCGAACGGGUGAGUAACACGUGGGUGAUCUGCCCUGCACUUCGGGAUAAGACUGGGAAAAUGGGUCUAAUACCGGAUAGGACCGCACUUUGGUGUGUGUGGUGGAAAGGUUUUUCUGGUUUGGGUUGAGUUCGCGGCCUAUCAGUUUGUUGGUGGGGUAAUGGCCUACCAAGACGGCGACGGGUAGCCGGCCUGAGAGGGUGGACGGGCGCAGUGGGACCGAGAGACGGCCCAGACGCCUACUGGAGGGCGAAGGGGGGAAGAUUGCACGAUGGGGGAAACCCUGAUGCAGCGACGCCGCGUGGGGGAUGAAGGCCUUCUGGUUGAAAACCCAUUUCGCUAGGGACGAAGCUUGUUGUGACGGUACCUGGAGAAGAAGCACCGGCUAACUACGUG